rnacentral:rRNA from 1 species
UACGGGGGGGGCAAGCGUUGUUCGGAAUUACUGGGCGUAAAGGGCUCGUAGGCGGCCAACUAAGUCAGACGUGAAAUCCCUCGGCUUAACCGGGGAACUGCGUCUGAUACUGGAUGGCUAGAGAUUGGGAGAGGGAUGCGGAAUUCCAGGUGUAGCGGUGAAAUGCGUAGAUAUCGGGAGGAACACCUGAGGCGAAGGCGGGCUACUGGGCCGAUACUGACGCUGAUGUGCGAAAGCCAGGGGAGCGAACGGG